UUAAGCGACUAAGCGUACACGGUGGAUGCCCUGGCAGUCAGAGGCGAUGAAGGACGUGCUAAUCUGCGAAAAGCGUCGGUAAGGUGAUAUGAACCGUUAUAACCGGCGAUGUCCGAAUGGGGAAACCCAGUGUGAUUCGUCACACUAUCGUUAACUGAAUACAUAGGUUAACGAGGCGAACCGGGGGAACUGAAACAUCUAAGUACCCCGAGGAAAAGAAAUCAACCGAGAUUCCCCCAGUAGCGGCGAGCGAACGGGGAGCAGCCCAGAGUCUGAAUCAGCUUGUGUGUUAGUGGAACGGUCUGGAAAGUCCGACGGUACAGGGUGAUAGUCCCGUACACCAAAAUGCACAGGUUGUGAACUCGAAGAGUAGGGCGGGACACGUGGUAUCCUGUCUGAAUAUGGGGGGACCAUCCUCCAAGGCUAAAUACUCCUGACUGACCGAUAGUGAACCAGUACCGUGAGGGAAAGGCGAAAAGAACCCCGGCGAGGGGAGUGAAAAAGAACCUGAAACCGUGUACGUACAAGCAGUGGGAGCACCUUCGGGUGUGACUGCGUACCUUUUGUAUAAUGGGUCAGCGACUUAUAUUCUGUAGCAAGGUUAACCGUAUAGGGGAGCCGCAGGGAAACCGAGUCUUAACUGGGCGUUAAGUUGCAGGGUAUAGACCCGAAACCCGGUGAUCUAGCCAUGGGCAGGUUGAAGGUUGGGUAACACUAACUGGAGGACCGAACCGACUAAUGUUGAAAAAUUAGCGGAUGACUUGUGGCUGGGGGUGAAAGGCCAAUCAAACCGGGAGAUAGCUGGUUCUCCCCGAAAGCUAUUUAGGUAGCGCCUCGUGAACUCAUCUUCGGGGGUAGAGCACUGUUUCGGCUAGGGGGUCAUCCCGACUUACCAACCCGAUGCAAACUACGAAUACCGAAGAAUGUUAUCACGGGAGACACACGGCGGGUGCUAACGUCCGUCGUGAAGAGGGAAACAACCCAGACCGCCAGCUAAGGUCCCAAAGUCAUGGUUAAGUGGGAAACGAUGUGGGAAGGCACAGACAGCCAGGAUGUUGGCUUAGAAGCAGCCAUCAUUUAAAGAAAGCGUAAUAGCUCACUGGUCGAGUCGGCCUGCGCGGAAGAUGUAACGGGGCUAAACCAUGCACCGAAGCUGCGGCAGCGACACGAUGUGUUGUUGGGUAGGGGAGCGUUCUGUAAGCCUGCGAAGGUGGCCUGUGAGGGUUGCUGGAGGUAUCAGAAGUGCGAAUGCUGACAUAAGUAACGAUAAAGCGGGUGAAAAGCCCGCUCGCCGGAAGACCAAGGGUUCCUGUCCAACGUUAAUCGGGGCAGGGUGAGUCGACCCCUAAGGCGAGGCCGAAAGGCGUAGUCGAUGGGAAACAGGUUAAUAUUCCUGUACUUGGUGUUACUGCGAAGGGGGGACGGAGAAGGCUAUGUUAGCCGGGCGACGGUUGUCCCGGUUUAAGCAUGUAGGCUGGUUAUCCAGGCAAAUCCGGAUAAUCAAGGCUGAGGUGUGAUGACGAGGCACUACGGUGCUGAAGUAACAAAUGCCCUGCUUCCAGGAAAAGCCUCUAAGCAUCAGGUAACAUCAAAUCGUACCCCAAACCGACACAGGUGGUCAGGUAGAGAAUACCAAGGCGCUUGAGAGAACUCGGGUGAAGGAACUAGGCAAAAUGGUGCCGUAACUUCGGGAGAAGGCACGCUGGUGUGUAGGUGAAGCCCCUGCGGGUGGAGCUGAGACCAGUCGAAGAUACCAGCUGGCUGCAACUGUUUAUUAAAAACACAGCACUGUGCAAACACGAAAGUGGACGUAUACGGUGUGACGCCUGCCCGGUGCCGGAAGGUUAAUUGAUGGGGUUAUCCGUAAGGAGAAGCUCUUGAUCGAAGCCCCGGUAAACGGCGGCCGUAACUAUAACGGUCCUAAGGUAGCGAAAUUCCUUGUCGGGUAAGUUCCGACCUGCACGAAUGGCGUAAUGAUGGCCAGGCUGUCUCCACCCGAGACUCAGUGAAAUUGAACUCGCUGUGAAGAUGCAGUGUACCCGCGGCAAGACGGAAAGACCCCGUGAACCUUUACUAUAGCUUGACACUGAACAUUGAGCCUUGAUGUGUAGGAUAGGUGGGAGGCUUUGAAGCGUGGACGCCAGUCUGCGUGGAGCCAACCUUGAAAUACCACCCUUUAAUGUUUGAUGUUCUAACGUUGGCCCCUAAUCGGGGUUGCGGACAGUGUCUGGUGGGUAGUUUGACUGGGGCGGUCUCCUCCCAAAGCGUAACGGAGGAGCACGAAGGUUAGCUAAUCCUGGUCGGACAUCAGGAGGUUAGUGCAAUGGCAUAAGCUAGCUUGACUGCGAGCGUGACGGCGCGAGCAGGUGCGAAAGCAGGUCAUAGUGAUCCGGUGGUUCUGAAUGGAAGGGCCAUCGCUCAACGGAUAAAAGGUACUCCGGGGAUAACAGGCUGAUACCGCCCAAGAGUUCAUAUCGACGGCGGUGUUUGGCACCUCGAUGUCGGCUCAUCACAUCCUGGGGCUGAAGUAGGUCCCAAGGGUAUGGCUGUUCGCCAUUUAAAGUGGUACGCGAGCUGGGUUUAGAACGUCGUGAGACAGUUCGGUCCCUAUCUGCCGUGGGCGCUGGAGAAUUGAGGGGGGCUGCUCCUAGUACGAGAGGACCGGAGUGGACGCAUCACUGGUGUUCGGGUUGUCAUGCCAAUGGCACUGCCCGGUAGCUAAAUGCGGAAGAGAUAAGUGCUGAAAGCAUCUAAGCACGAAACUUGCCCCGAGAUGAGUUCUCCCUGAGACUUUAAGUCUCCUGAAGGAACGUUAAAGACGAUGACGUUGAUAGGCCGGGUGUGUAAGCGCAGCGAUGCGUUGAGCUAACCGGUACUAAUGAACCGUGAGGCUUAACCUU
rnacentral:rRNA from 1 species